AAUCUUCCACAAUGGGCGAAAGCCUGAUGGAGCAACGCCGCGUGUGUGAAGAAGGUUUUCGGAUCGUAAAACUCUGUUGUAAGGGAAGAACAAGUACAGUAGUAACUGGCUGUACCUUGACGGUACCUUAUUAGAAACCCACGGCUAACUACGUUCCAGCAGCCGCGGGAAUACGUAGGUGGCAAGCGUUGUCCGGAAUUUUUGUGCGUAAAGCGCGAGCAGGCGGUCCUUUAAGUCUGAUGUGAAAGCCCAAGGCUCAACCGUGGAGGGUCAUUGGAAACUGGGGGACUUGAGUGCAGAAGAGGAAAGUGGAAUUCCAAGUGUAGCGGUGAAAUGCGUAGAGAUUUGGAGGAACACCAGUGGCGAAGGCGACUUUCUGGUCUGUAACUGACGCUGAGGCGCGAAAGCGUGGGGAGCAAACAGG
rnacentral:rRNA from 1 species